UAUUUUGUUAUUUCGUCCCAUUUUAUCCUAUCCUUCAGUGUCUACUGAUUCCUUUUGUCCUUCUGUGUUUGUGACCUAUGUAAACAAUUUGUGUUUUUCUGCUGUUUAUGUAUGUAUGGGACCUGUGUAUUCUAGGAAGGUUAACUUAAUUAUGAGUUAUUCUGUGUUCAGUUAUGCACUAUGCAAGUUCUUCUGCUGAUUAUCUGUGUUUCUUGGUGUGCAGUUCAAGCUUUGCAAGGUUAGGUCUGUCCAGUUUGGGCAGAAGGGCAUUCCCUACCUGAACACCUAUGAUGGCCGUACCAUCCGCUACCCUGACCCCCUCAUCAAGGCCAACGACACCAUCAAGAUCGACCUGGAGACCAACAAGAUUGUGGACUUCAUCAAGUUCGAUGUCGGUAAUGUUGUGAUGGUUACUGGUGGGCGCAACACUGGGCGUGUUGGUGUCAUCAAGAACCGUGAAAAGCACAAGGGUACCUUUGAGACCAUCCACGUUGAGGAUGCUCAGGGCCACCAAUUUGCCACCCGUCUUGGCAACGUCUUCACCAUUGGCAAGGGCACCAAGCCAUGGGUGAGCCUCCCCAAGGGCAAGGGUAUCAAGCUCACCAUCAUUGAGGAGCAGAGGAAGAGGGAUGCCGCUGCCCAGGCUGCUGCCAAGGCCUAAAUCAGUUUAGUGCCGAGUUUAUCUGCAAGGAUAUAGAAUUAUGUUCCAAGAACUACCUCCGUUA
rnacentral:lncRNA from 1 species